rnacentral:misc_RNA from 1 species
AAGCCAUGCAGCAGCAUCCUGCGUUAGAAAAUGCAGCACCUCAACCAAUAUUAGAUAUCACUUUCUCCAACGGAUUGACAAGAACAGAAAAUCCCGAGUAGACGAAAUUGCAUGACAUCAAAACAAAAGGGCUAUCUCCAACCAUUAACUAAGUUACCCAGCCCCCUUAGAGUUGGGCAAGAAAAAAGCACAGAGACUGGACAAUCAACAGUGAAGGUGAAUCUCAUGAACUUAGUGAUUAUAAACACUUGGAAACCAAAGCUGG